CACAGCUGCGCGUCCGGGCGCUCGGCGGGCAGGUUCGCCGCCCCCUCCGCCCCCCAACGGCGGGCUCUUUGGGUGCCAGAGCCAAGUCCCAGAGGACGAGAUCCGGUGCCUCCAAAAUUCUUAAAGAUUUUGAAGAGAUUAAACGUGAUUUUCAAGUGACCUUUUGUGUUUUGUUUUGUCUUUGGAAAGUUUGGGGGAAGAAAAUUUCACUACGAAAUAAGAUAAGCUCUCUUCACAACAUCUCGAAAGAUAAUUUAAAAAAAAAAGUUAUUUAUGGGAAGUGGAGCAACACACGCCUUUAAACAUGAGUUUUUUUUUUUUUUAACCCUUUUCAUCCUUUUUCCAAUCUUAGUGAGAUUUGACCAUUGGGAACGUUAUCCUGAGUCGUGUCUUUUCGAAAAAUAAUGCUCACAGCUGGUUGAGGUCUAAGCGCUCAGUGAAAUAACACAGCGACC
rnacentral:lncRNA from 1 species